UUGUUGGUAAGGUAAAAGCUUACCAAGGCUUCGAUCAGUAGCUGGUCUGAGAGGACGACCAGCCACACUGGGACUGAGACACGGCCCAGACUCCUACGGGAGGCAGCAGUGGGGAAUUUUGGACAAUGGGGGCAACCCUGAUCCAGCCAUGCCGCGUGAGUGAAGAAGGCCUUCGGGUUGUAAAGCUCUUUCAGCCGAAACGAAACGGUUACGGUUAAUACCCGUGACUACUGACGGUACCGGAAGAAGAAGCACCGGCUAACUACGUGCCAGCAGCCGCGGUAAUACGUAGGGUGCGAGCGUUAAUCGGAAUUACUGGGCGUAAAGCGUGCGCAGGUGGUUUUGUAAGUCAGAUGUGAAAGCCCCGGGCUCAACCUGGGAACUGCGUUUGAAACUACAAGACUAGAGUGUGGCAGAGGGGGGUGGAAUUCCGCGUGUAGCAGUGAAAUGCGUAGAGAUGUGGAGGAACACCGAUGGCGAAGGCAGCCCCCUGGGUCAACACUGACGCUCAGGCACGAAAGCAUGGGGAGCAAACAGGAUUAGAUACCCUGGUAGUCCAUGCCCUAAACGAUGUCAACUAGUUGUCGGGCCUUUACGGGCUUGGUAACGUAGCUAACGCGUGAAGUUGACCGCCUGGGGAGUACGAUCGCAAGAUUAAAACUCAAAUGAAUUGACGGGGACCCGCACAAGCGGUGGAUUAUGUGGAUUAAUUCGAUGCAACGCGAAAAACCUUACCUACCCUUGACAUGUAUCGAAGCCCGCAGAAAAGCGGGGGUGCCCGAAAGGGAACGAUAACACAGGUGCUGCAUGGCUGUCGUCAGCUCGUGUCGUGAGAUGUUGGGUUAAGUCCCGCAACGAGCGCAACCCUUGUCAUUAAUUGCCAUCAUUUAGUUGGGCACUUUAAUGAGACUGCCGG
rnacentral:rRNA from 1 species